GACUGGCCGACUCGAAGGGAUUCUGCCAGGUACAAUCAUAGAUAUGCCAUGUUCGAGCGAAGGUAGCCCAUUGCUGCAAACGAAGGAACCCAUGUUUAUGUAAUCAGCAUCGUAUCAAACUAUCAGCAUCGUAUCAUUGCGCUCUUGAUGAAUGACGGUUUGAGUUGUUACCUGCACACGCUUCUUUAUCGACAUUGUUUGGUUUACGGGAACGUUUGAUUAAAAUAUAUAUAUGCUAUUAUCAACUAAAAUUAUUUACGAGCCACAAUCACGUCUGGCAUGUGAAAAGCAAAACAACAGUCCAACCAGUAGCAUUUGUCAAAUGCAACAAGAUAAAUUUUUACUUGGCCUUUCGUAUUGUACCCACCGGUGUGUAUACACGGUAUACACAAAUCAGAUGCCGGAUUUUUUUCAAAUGUCUGAAAAUGCCUAAUUAAAAAACAGUCUGUGAAUUAUGUUCUCAGGAAACAGGACAACUCUAUGGUUCGAUGUAUGAUACCCGGAUGCGUGAGCCAGGGUUCGAUUCGAAUUAUGAAAACGUAUCUCAAAAAUUAUCACAUCAUCGAUUCCCGGGUAAUGUGACCAUUCGGAAGAAAUGGAUUCGAUUGUUCGGACAGGACCUAAGCAGCAAUAAAAACUAAAAACCUGUACAUUUGCUCGCUUCACCUCAGUUGAGAUUGUGUCAUGCAUAUCGAUGGUUUGAAGUACAAUAUCGUCGAAAACUGAUACCAACAGCUGUCCCUACUGUCAGCAAGGCCAACAAUUCUCAUGCCUCGGGAAAUCAGAACCGGACGGCUCGUCGGAAGGUCUUGGUUGACAUCAAGCUAGAGUUGAAUACAGUCAAAACAUCCGUCACAUCCGCGGAAUCGGUCCAGUUUUCUAAUGGGAUGAAACAAGACUAUCCCGAGAAGGAUAUUCCGUCAAAGAAAAUCGGGAACAGCCAUAACAUAACAUUGAUCUACGGAGAGAGAUGAAUACAACAAAAUAAAGACGACUCAAAUCGGACCAUUCAGGUUUUGCGCUUACCAACACAUUUGGCCUUCCAUUUUUAUUUAUAUAGAUAGAAGAUAUAGGAGUGCGUUAUUUCGCCCGGAAAUUACCACUUCCGAACAGAGUUUAAUUUCGUUAUUGCAAAAAUUGAAUGGACUAACAGCGCAAACAUGACAUAAUUGUAGGAAAUAUGAGAAUUCAAUUUUCCGAGUUUUCCGAAAAUUUUGGCCUUUCAUUUUUAUUGAAAUAGAUGUUUAUAACUAGAAGCAUGUUCAUUUCGAUUUUUUUAUACAUUCUUAAUACAAAGUCUUUCAAUUGACAACGUUUGACGUAUAGUGUUACUGUAUCGGACUCAUCUAAAUGAAGAUAUGAUUUCUAUAUUAAAAAUUUAUUAAUUUUGAAUACUUUGCGAAUUCGUUACCAUCUAAGAAAACCAAUAUAGAAAAUACAGUAAUUUACAUUUAAUGCAACAUGCCGAGGUACCACUCAGUUCACUCUGGCUUUGCACUAACUCUGGGAAAUGAAUUUUUAUUUCCGAAACCGAACAAGUACCAAUGGGACCACAAAACUUGGUGAGAGAGAAAGGGAACAUCGAACUACACGACUGCAGUAUACCCACUAU